rnacentral:rRNA from 1 species
CCUACGGGAGGCAGCAGUGGGGAAUAUUGCGCAAUGGGCGAAAGCCUGACGCAGCGACGCCGCGUGAGGGAUGAAGGUCUUCGGAUCGUAAACCUCUGUCAGCAGGGAAGAACGGUCACUGUGCUAAUCAGCCGUGAAUUGACGGUACCUGCAAAGGAAGCACCGGCUAACUCCGUGCCAGCAGCCGCGGUAAUACGGAGGGUGCGAGCGUUAAUCGGAAUUACUGGGCGUAAAGCGCUCGUAGGCGGUAUGUCAAGUCAAGGGUGAAAUCCCCGCGCUCAACGUGGGAACUGCCUUUGAAACUGGCAAACUGGAGUGUGGGAGAGGAUAGUGGAAGUCCAGGUGUAGGAGUGAGAUCCGUAGAUAUCUGGAGGAACAUCAGUGGCAAAGGCGACUAUCUGGCACAUAACUGACGCUGAGGAGCGAAAGCGUGGGUAGCAAACAGGAUUAGAUACCCUUGUAGUC